UACGUAGGGUGCGAGCGUUAAUCGGAAUUACUGGGCGUAAAGGGUGCGCAGGCGGUUAUAUAAGACAGAUGUGAAAUCCCCGGGCUCAACCUGGGAACUGCGUUUGUGACUGUAUGACUAGAGUACGGUAGAGAGGGGUGGAAUUCCUGGUGUAGCAGUGAAAUGCGUAGAUAUCAGGAGGAACAUCGAUGGCGAAGGCAGCCCCUUGGACCUGUACUGACGCU
rnacentral:rRNA from 1 species